rnacentral:rRNA from 1 species
GACGUAGGGCGCGAGCGUUGUCCGGAUUUAUUGGGCGUAAAGAGCGUGUAGGCGGCCUGACAGGUCUGCUGUGAAAACUCGAGGCUCAACCUCGAGAUGUCGGCGGAAACCGUCUGGCUAGAGUCCGGAAGAGGAGAGUGGAAUUCCUGGUGUAGCGGUGAAAUGCGCAGAUAUCAGGAAGAACACCUAUGGCGAAGGCAGCUCUCUGGGACGGUACUGACGCUGAGACGCGAAAGCGUGGGGAGCGAACAGG